ensembl:snRNA U6 U6 spliceosomal RNA
AUGCUUCAGCAACACAUUUACUAAAAUUGGAAUGAUACACAGAAGCUUAGCAUGACCGUACACAAGGAUGACACCCAAAUCUGUGAAGCAUUUCCUAUUUUU